rnacentral:rRNA from 1 species
GACGAACGCUGGCGGCGUGCUUAACACAUGCAAGUCGAACGGAAAGGCCCUGCUUGCAGGGUACUCGAGUGGCGAACGGGUGAGUAACACGUGGGUGAUCUGCCCUGCACUUCGGGAUAAGCCUGGGAAACUGGGUCUAAUACCGGAUAGGAGCCAUUUUUAGUGCGAUGGUUGGUAAGUUUUUUCGGUGUAGGAUGAGCUCGCGGCCUAUCAGCUUGUUGGUGGGGUAAUGGCCUACCAAGGCGGCGACGGGUAGCCGGCCUGAGAGGGUGGACGGCCACAUUGGGACUGCGAUACGGCCCAGACGCCUACGGGAGGCAGCAGUGGGGAAUAUUGCACAAUGGGCGCAAGCCUGAUGCAGCGACGCCGCGUGGGGGAUGACGGCCUUCGGGUUGUAAACUCCUUUCGCUAGGGACGAAGCUUUUUGUGACGGUACCUAGAUAAGAAGCACCGGCUAACUACGUG